rnacentral:rRNA from 1 species
AGUGAACGCUGGCGGUAGGCCUAACACAUGCAAGUCGAACGGCAGCACAGUAAGAGCUUGCUCUUACGGGUGGCGAGUGGCGGACGGGUGAGGAAUAGAUCGGAAUCUACUUUUUCGGGGGGGAUAACGGAGGGAAACUUACGCUAAUACCGCAUACGACCUACGGGUGAAAGCAGGGGAUCUUCGGACCUUGCGCGAUUGAAUGAGCCGAUGUCGGAUUAGCUAGUUGGCGGGGUAAAGGCCCACCAAGGCGACGAUCCGUAGCUGGUCUGAGAGGAUGAUCAGCCACACUGGAACUGAGACACGGUCCAGACUCCUACGGGAGGCAGCAGUGGGGAAUAUUGGACAAUGGGCGCAAGCCUGAUCCAGCCAUACCGCGUGGGUGAAGAAGGCCUUCGGGUUGUAAAGCCCUUUUGUUGGGAAAGAGAAGCAGCAGGUUAAUCCCCCGCUGUUCUGACGGUACCCAAAGAAUAAGCACCGGCUAACUUCGUG